GAUGAAGAACGCAGCGAAAUGCGAUAAGUAGUGUGAAUUGCAGAAUUCAGUGAAUCAUCGAAUCUUUGAACGCACAUUGCGCCCCUUGGUAUCCCGAGGGGCAUGCCUGUUAGAGCGUCAUUUCACCACUCAAGCCUGGCUUGGUGUUGGGCGACGUCCCCUUUGGGGACGCGCCUCGAAACGCUCGGCGGCGUGGCACCGGCUUUAAGCGUAGCAGAAUCUUUCGCUUUGGAAGUCGGGGCCCCGUCUGCCGGAAGACCUACUCGCAAGGUUGACCUCGGAUCAGGCAGGGAUACCCGCUGAACUUAAGCAUAUCAAUAAGCGGAGGA
rnacentral:misc_RNA from 1 species